rnacentral:rRNA from 1 species
AUUGAACGCUGGCGGCAUGCCUUACACAUGCAAGUCGAACGGUAACAGGUUAAGCUGACGAGUGGCGAACGGGUGAGUAAUAUAUCGGAACGUGCCCAGUUGUGGGGGAUAACUGCUCGAAAGAGCAGCUAAUACCGCAUACGACCUGAGGGUGAAAGCGGGGGAUCGCAAGACCUCGCGCAAUUGGAGCGGCCGAUAUCAGAUUAGCUAGUUGGCGGGGUAAAAGCCCACCAAGGCGACGAUCUGUAGCUGGUCUGAGAGGACGACCAGCCACACUGGGACUGAGACACGGCCCAGACUCCUACGGGAGGCAGCAGUGGGGAAUUUUGGACAAUGGACGCAAGUCUGAUCCAGCCAUGCCGCGUGCGGGAAGAAGGCCUUCGGGUUGUAAACCGCUUUUGUCAGGGAAGAAACGGCUUUUUCUAAUACAGAGAGCUAAUGACGGUACCUGAAGAAUAAGCACCGGCUAACUACGUGCCAGCCGCCGCAGUAA